rnacentral:rRNA from 1 species
GACGAACGCUGGCGGCGUGCUUAACACAUGCAAGUUGAACGCUAAGGCCUUGUACUUGUACCGACCUCAUGAGCCGCGCACGUGUGUGUAACGCGUGUGAAAUCUCCCUGUCAGCGGGGUACCACAUGUGGACACGAAUGCUAAUACCGCAUAAGCACUUUAUACACAGGGGUGAAGGGUGAAAUAUGCAGUUGCAUCACUCACUGAUGAUCUCGCGUUGUAUUAGCUGGGUGGUGAGGUACAGGCUCUUCAAGGCGGUGAUACCUAGCCGGACUGAGUGGGUGGUCGGCCACAUUGGGAGUGAGACAGGGCACAAAGGCAUAGGGGAGGCAGCAGUAGGGAAUCUGGGGCAAUGGGCGAAAGUCUGAGCGAGCAGCGCCGAGUGAGUGAAGAAGGUUUUCGGAUCGGAAAACUCUGUUGGUAGGGAAGAACGUUGGUGCGCGUGGAAAGCUCAUCAAGUGACGGUAACUAGUCAGAAAGGGACGGCUAACUACGUG